rnacentral:lncRNA from 1 species
UUUUCAUCCUUUAAAGGUCGAUAAAAUAAGUACCAGUUUAACAAUGGGAUCGAUGGAAUCGACUUGGUCCCCUAAAAGUUUUGGUCUAGUGCCAAAAUUUGAAACCAAUAUACAAAAAUGAAGUUGUAGAUCAUAGUUUUGCACCAAAUUUCCGAGGUAACGGAAAUUUUGCCUAGGACUUUUUCUGAAUCUUAACAAAAAUACUAAAACCUCCAAGCAGUGCAGUAGACAUUGGAAAAGGUUAUUGACGAGAAAAAUAGUUCAUUUUAAGCAUUGAUGCAAAUUAAGUAAAGUGUUCUGAAAAAUCAGUUUUCCCAGAAAAUAUUUUUUUUUAAAUGUAAGAGGAAAAGUUUAAUUUUAGGUUACACGUUUGUUUGCACAUUUAAUCAAUUUGAAUGGGCUUUAGAUUUGCAACAAUUCAUGGUUGUCAAGUGAAUGACGGAGCCGGGCAAAUGCAGACUGAAUGAUAUUCAAAUUAUAAAAACUGGCGAGUGGGGUUACAAAAAGAAAAAGGUACUUUUAAAAAAUAUUCACCUUUAAACAAAUACGUACUGCAAUAUCACCCAAGCAUUUGGCCUAGGACCUGUCAACAAACGCAGCUCAACAUUGGUUCCAAAAAUGUUGAGACGAUAGUCUUCAAGAUUAAGAAAAAAACAAUAGGAUGGGAUUUGACGGUUAUUUCUAGCAGAUCAAGCUAACACGAAGGGAAAGAGAGACGGUGAAGGGAAGCAUUUUGCCAGUGUGUAAGAGAGUCAUUAUUAGAGUGUUUCCACACAGAAUAACCCGAAAAGUUACGGAAGAAUUAAUAGUUAACAAUUCAGCAGUUGUUUGAUUUUAGAAGAUCAAGCAAGUUCGUCAAAUAGCUGCCGUAGGAGCCAAACGAAAAGAAAUCGCCUUUAAGCAAUCUGCUCUCAGCUUCUUUGGAUCAACCCAAAUGAUUCAUUUUUUUUUUUUUUUUUUGGUAGCUUUUGACUGAAAAUGGAUUCUGUACGACAAACGACGACGUUCCGAGCAGUAAAGUGAACUGAGGCUUAACACCAAAACCCUUUCCCAAACCGAAAGUACAUCAAAUGUAUGUUACGGCCGCUGUUUGUUGGUCGACAAGUGGAAUUAUCUACUAUUUCUUGAAUUCUGGCGAAACAAUAAACGGCAGGUAAUAUAGUCGUUA